rnacentral:rRNA from 1 species
AAAGCGAGCGAGUGAUCGUAAGCAAAUCUCAAAAUAACGUCUCAGUUCGGAUUGUAGUCUGCAACUCGACUACAUGAAGCUGGAAUCGCUAGUAAUCGCGGAUCAGAAUGCCGCGGUGAAUACGUUCCCGGGUCUUGUACACACCGCCCGUCACACCAUGGGAGUCGGAAAUGCCCGAAGUCUGUGACCUAACCGUAAGGAAGGAGCAGCCGAAGGCAGGUCGGAUGACUGGGGUGAAGUCGUAACAAGGUACC